CAAACGACUGUCGGCAACGGAUAUCUCGGCUCACGCAUCGAUGAAGAACGUAGCAAAAUGCGAUACUUGGUGUGAAUUGCAGAAUCCCGUGAACCAUCGAGUUUUUGAACGCAAGUUGCGCCCGACGCCUUUUGGCCGAGGGCACGUCUGCCUGGGCGUCACGCA
rnacentral:rRNA from 1 species